rnacentral:rRNA from 1 species
CAUGUCCUUAAGUUAAAAAUUUAAGGUCUAACCUGCCCAGUGAUUAUUUAAAUGGCCGCGGUAUAUUGACCGUGCAAAGGUAGCAUAAUAAUUAGUUUUUUAAUUGAAAACUAGAAUGAAUGGUUGGACGAGAAAAUUUCUGUCUCUUUUUUAAUUUUGUAGAAUUUAAUUUUUAAGUUAAAAAGCUUAAAUGAAUUAAAAAGACGAGAAGACCCUAUAGAGUUUUAUAUUCUAAAAAAUUUUAAAUUUUAGUAUUUAUUAUAGGAUUUUAGGAGAAUAUUUUGUUGGGGUGACAAAAAGAUAAAAAUAACUCUUUUUUUUAAAAAAACAUUGAUAAAUGAGUUUAUGAUCCAUUUUUUACGAUUAUAAGAUUAAAUUACCUUAGGGAUAACAGCGUUAUUUUUUUAGAGAGUUCAAAUCGAUAAAAGAAAUUGCGACCUCGAUGUUGGAUUAAAGUUUAUUUUUGGUGCAAAAGCUUGAAUAUUAGGUCUGUUCGACCUUUAAAACUUUACAUGAUCUGAGU